rnacentral:rRNA from 1 species
CGGAGUGUGCGAGCGUUGUCCGGAAUCACUGGGCGUAAAGGGCGCGUAGGCGGUCUGCUAAGCGUGCGGUGAAAGCCUGGGGCUCAACCCCAGGUCUGCCGUGCGAACUGGUGGACUAGAGCACUGUAGAGGCAGGUGGAAUUUCGGGUGUAGCGGUGGAAUGCGUAGAGAUCCGAAAGAACACCGGUGGCGAAGGCGGCCUGCUGGGCAGUUGCUGACGCUGAGGCGCGACAGCGUGGGGAGCAAACAGGAUUAGAUACCCUGGUAGUCCACGCCGUAAACGAUGGGCACUAGGUGCUUGGGGGAGCGACCCCCCGAGUGCCGGCGCUAACGCAUUAAGUGCCCCGCCUGGGGAGUACGACCGCAAGGUUG